UUAAAUUUGUUAUUUUUCAUAGUUCAUAAUUCAAUAAUCACCAUAAAAUUCGAUGGUAGCAAAUGAAUUCAGAAUGCUGUUGGUUUCUGUAUCAGGGUAUGGGGCCUCUAUCCCACAAUUAUCUUCUCAGAGUAGCGCACCUCAGUAAUCCUCUUAUGGUGGAUAUCAGGGUACAAGCAAAAAGAUUGAAAAUCUAAAUGGAAGGGUAAGCUUUUUGUUCAUUCUGUUUUCUGUCACUGAAUUUAGAAAGUGCAUCCAGAAGUGUGAUGUUUGUAUUCUCUUUAACUGACACUGUUGUCAACUUGCUGUAGGUUGGUGUUAUCAUUGGAAAAGCUGGGGAAACUAUUAGGUAUAUCCAACUUCAAUCAGGAUCAAAGAUUCAAGUCACAAGAGACCAUGAAGCUGAACCUGGUGCACUGACAAGGCAAGUUGAGCUUUCUGGCAAACCUGAGCAGAUAAGCAAAGCUGAACAGUUGAUCAAAGAAGUUCUGGCAGAGGUAUUACUCAUUAUGCUCACAGCCUUUUGUUUUGUUCUGCAUUUUUCAUCUAUGUUACAAUGUUUGAUCUUGCAUCUUAGGCCGAUGUUGGGUCAUCCGGUGUUGGAUCUGGAGGCCGGAAAUACAAUGCAACACAGCAAGGUGCUGAGACGUUCCAGAUGAAAAUUGCUAAUAACAAGGUGGGACUGAUUAUUGGGAAGGGUGGUGAGACUAUAAAGUCCAUGCAGACCAAUUCUGGAGCCCGUAUUCAGGUUUGCUAUCUUGUUAUAUAGCUUCCUGUUUUACCUUAGCUGCAAUCAGAAGUAAGGUUACACUAAGUUCACUUGUGGCCGUUUGUCUGCUUGUUUUUGCUUUGCCUUGAAAAUAUCACUUCUAAAUGAUUGAUAUUUUGUCACAUAGAGUUUAUCAUUCAUAUUUUGCUGUAAACGCUCCAUUUGGUCCAAGCUGUUCGUUUAUUCUCACAUCAUUUGGUCCAAGUUGUCCAUUUAGUCGAAUGAGAAAAAUGAAACAAAAGUAGGAUUUCUAUUUUUUUGAUAGUGACUAACACACUUAGAAAAUGCUAUAUGUUUGCAGUAGGUGGUACAUGCUAUUUAUGCAAACGAAAGUUCCUUUUUAGGAUUGUUAAACAUAAUUUUGGAGUUUGGGAUUUCCUUUGGGUAUCUUUUGUGUAGCAUUCAUAUAAUUAGUAAAGGUAUAUAAUUAGUAAAGGUAUAUGCUGCACUACAUUUUAUCUAUAAUUCUUUAUUUGGAGUUAUUGUUUGCACGACUAUCCCUCUCUCACGGAUAAAGAUGUCAGGAUCAUUGCUUCAAACUGCGCUGCAUUAGAAAAUCUCAUUAUGUUACAGUCUUCAAUCAGUGAUGGUGGUCUUUCUCAGGAUGCUAAGCAAUGCAGGAACCUGAAGUUCCUCCA